UGUGUGUGUGUAUUCCAGCAGUAACUGCUCAACGAUUGCAAUGCGACGAAAACUAACAGCUUCUAUAGGCUUCUAGCCACGUUCUCUUGGAUUUUGAUUCGUGGAUUAGCAAACUAAAGCUUCUUUCUCGAGUUAUGGCUAGUUUGACUCACAUUGAAGGCUGUUGCAGUCUCUUCAGAAUCUUUCAUAGCAUCAUCUGUCUGCACAAACUUUCUAUUCAACAUAUGAGUUAGCCUUGCACUAAAGCGCUAGCUUUUUGUUAGC